AGGAAAAAUUUUUUUCAAAGAAAGAAACGGAAAAUUUAGCCGCCGAUAAAUCUAUCUACCGAAUCUAAUAACACUGGCCUGUCUGACAAUCUUGCCUCGCUCGAGUUGUAAAAUUUAAAUCAAGAAUAUAUUAUUUCUUCUUUACUCACUCAAAUGGCAAAGCGAGAGAAACUAAAAGGAAAAGUUCAAGAAGAAGAAGAACAAGAAGACAAGCCGGUGAUGGAAUUAAGCAGUGGCGACGAUGACGACGAGGAUCUGAGCUUGACGAUCGUUGAGAAAGCACUGCUAAUGCGGGCGGCCAAUUUGGGCCAAAACGACAAUGAUGGUGUCUUUUUGGACGAUGAUAAUGCGUCUAAGAACGGUUGCGGCCUUGUCGGUUUCUGUGCUCGCGAUGGUAUUGAUAGCGGUGAGAGGAAGGUGGUGGAGAUGGCAUCAUCGUGGGUUGUUAAGGAUAUCGAAUCGGUUAAUAAAAGGAAGAAGAGAAAGAAGAAUCAAAAGAAGAAAACUGGGGAUAAAUCUGCUGUUAUUGCAGAACAAGAAGAGAAGGCAGAAACAAUUAAAAAGUUGGAGACCUUGGGGAAUGCAGAGUCUGUUCAAACCACAGUGGAAUUGGCUGAAAUGCCCGAGAAUAUUGUGCUGCGAAAGCUUCUUCGGGGCCCGAGAUACUUUGAUCCUCCUGAUAGUAUUAGUAGCUGGUCAACAUGCGAUCAUUGUGGCAAGCAAGGUCACAGGGCCAUGAAUUGUCUGUCACUCCGGAAGAAGAAAAAGCCGUGCUUUCUUUGUGGGGGUUUGGAGCAUGGUUUUAAGCAAUGUUACAAGGAACGAGUUUGCACCAUAUGCAAAUCAAAGGACCACCGUCUGAGUCAUUGUCCAGAGAAACACAAGGGUGGUCCUUCAAAUGUUUGUUUAAAAUGUGGAGAUUCCGGGCAUGAUUUGUUUUCAUGCAAGAACAAUUAUCCUCUUGAUGAUCUCAAGGUAGCAUUUAUCCUCCCUUUGUUAAAUGUUGGAAGGAUAAGAGAAAAUAACAAGAGGAGGAAGAACAUGGUUCAGCUGCUGGUAGUCUAUGUCCAUGAGAUACAGUGUUAUGUUUGCAAGAGUUUUGGACAUCUAUGUUGUGUGAACACUGUUGAUAAUAGUACAAUCGAAGUUUCCUGCAAUAAAUGUGGUGAACUAGGUCAUACUGGUUUGGAUUGCUCAAGUUUGCAUAAGAAAGCCACUGCCAAAGCUUCACCUAGUUUAUGCUAGAAAUGUGGUGGAGGAAGUGCACCAGUUCUCAGCAAAGGUAAAUUUUGUAAAGGAGAUUUUACAUAUUCUUAGAAUGAGUAUUUGUUGGCCAAACUUUUUUCAUCACUUUGACAUCAAAAUUUUGUGUUUUCUUUGGGAAACAUUCUAUUUUUCUUUAGGGCUAUUGGCACUAAAAUUCCUGACCAUUGCGGUAAUAUGCGAUUUAAUCUGCAUAUUUCAAUUUUGGUACAAUAAGUCGAUUUUUUUGAUUUUCUAACAUUUUAAUCCUGAUUUCAAAGAGAAUAAGGGAAGUGUGUCCCAUCUUGCCACGUGGAUUAAUUUAUUAUUAUUUUAGGAGGCCCACUUGCCAUGUCACAUAUUAAAAAAUGGAAAAAGUUAACCAAUGUUAACUCUUAAUCCGUUUUCUCAAACCCUAACUCUAUAAAUUAGUUGGCUGAAGGGAAAAAAGUGGAAAUCUAUCAUCUGGUUCAAGGGUUAAAGCUUUAUAGAUAUAAUUAUCUAUAUAAAGUUAACAGGGUGGAAAGAUGAAUUGUGAAUGAUCUCUGCUUUGUGGGCUUAUAGAGAAAAUACAAAAUCCAUGGGAUUCAAUCUGCUUCUCAAGUUCUUGGCAAGCCUUGUCAGGAGAAAAACAAGUCUUGAGAACAGAGUAUGAAAGCAAAGACACCACCAAAAAAAUUCCAAGCAAAGAGGUGGAUGGCUAACAGAGGGUCCUGAAGAUUUAUUGAAGUCGAAGUCCAAAAGGAAGUUUUGCAGGUCUCCUUCAACACAAAUCUUACAAGGGUUUGAAGAUUUCUACUGUAACAUCUGGUGGUCAGAUGUCAAAUGCUCAAUCUUCCACGAGAAUUUAUACGAGUUAUUCAGUGUUUUUGCAGGUCAACAUAAGCCAAGGUCGUCAUCUAUUACCAAAGAAAAAGAUUCUCUUGAAGUUGUAAGAUGAUGAGUUUGUUAUUUCCUUUCAAAGUGGUUUUUACAUAUCUCGUGUGAACUGUCAUGGCAUUCUGAUUUUAAUGGUACUAGGAUUAUUGAGGAGAAAUUUCAAAAUUUCCUUAUCUUUUGGAUUCUUGUUUACAGUUUUAACUUGUAGGAUGAAUUGCAAGAAA